AGUCUGUGAUGAUUUUAAAUGUAAGAGUAGUGGACAGAAGUCAUUUCUGAGCAACAUCUCACUGAGACU